UCGCGAUUGUCCUAUUUACAUGGCGGCGACAUAUUUCACUAUUCGAUGAUGCUGCCAAUUGAUGUUGGCCGCCCUUUUCGCGGCCGGUAUAAUAGAUUGCGUAGUUGACCUAAAGAAAGCCAAUGUAUGUGAAUUUUUUAAUUUGGUAGUAUUGGCAUUGCAUAGUUUUUACCAAUCGCCAUUACAAUUUAUAGUUUCUAUCGUGUUGCUCGAAACACGUAGCGUACCGCGAUUAAUCGUGCAUUUAAGCCUUUAAAAGCGUAUAGUGAGUAAAAGUUUUUAUCGGGAGUGUCGAUUAAAGUCACAGGCGAUUGCCGGAAAGUAUUGUUUACCGUGAACGAUCGCGAAUAUCCGUGGAUUGCUGUGGAUGGAAAUCGACAAUUGUUCCAGUGAAUACAGAUUCCGAUGCUUUGCAGUGUAAUCCGAUGUGUAGUAUAAUUCAUGUUAGAUAACUACGUCUCGUAGCAUGUCGAAAAAUCAGACUGCUGAAAUUUAUUCUAGUAAAACCAAGCACAGUUGUGUUGUAUUAUAUGCGCCGGACCUUGCGUAACUGCCAAGUGUUUGUCGUUUGUCUCGCUCGUUGCAAGUACGUGUGAAGUUUCGAAGUGAUCGCCGGCUGGCGCGUCAAAUAUGUAAAGUGAUAAUCUCUGCUAUAAUUACACGUAUAAAUGUGUUUCCCUCAGAAGUUGCAUUUUUAUUAGUGAGUUUGCGUUUCGCGUACCGCGAUGUGGCAGAUUCUCUGAAUUCGUGAUUUUCAGAUGUGAAGUGAAGUGAUUGGCUUUCAUUUGCUGGCGCGUAACGAAGUGCUGGAUAUUCAUCGAUUCUUCGAUAGAGUGGAUGCGGGGGAGUCUAAGGCAGAAUUUGCAGCCGGUGGAACAAACUGCAAUAUCCUAGCAGGUAUAGUUGAAAGCGUGCUUAGUUAGGGUACAACGACCGGUGAGUGAAUUUAUUCAUUUCUUGUAUAAUUACAUUGAAACGCUUGCAUCGUCCACUGUUUUUUCAUUCACUAUUAUUUACCAUAUAAUUAUCAAGAAUUGCGCUUGAAUAAUCAUAUCUUUGCCUGAAAUUUGCAUUUUUUUAAAAUGAGUAAGAAAAUACCAAACUAUUUUAUUCUAUUUUAUUGAUCAUAAAUGCACGAAUGCAAAUUUUGGUCUGUUGAGUACCGAUUAACAUGACACGCGAUUGUCAGAACAUAUUAUUUACCGCAGAUGUUUGCGAUUAACGAGGUUUGGUCGAUCUGUAUCGUAAUUGGUGCACACAAUCGUAAUGAAUACUGAUUACAGAUUUUUGUACAGAGUACAGAUUUCGAUAUCGCGUGCGUAGAUAUAUUAUUGGUGCGUGAUAUAUUUUUCAUUAGCAUUUUGAAAACAUAUGUUAGUUCGUUGAAGUUAGAUCAGGUUAAACAUAAUUGUAUGCGUGUCUGCAUCCAACAAUCUUCGUGUGACCAUCAAGAUAAUCGUCGUUUAUCUCGUUCAUUUUGAAUGCAUAUACUUGUUGAAUGAAAUUGCGGCUAAUAUUUAAGAUGAUAAUAAUAUCACAUGUAGCAAACUCGCAGCGUGGAUCGACGUGUAAAUAUGUGAAUAAAAAUAUGCGAAUUUACUUUCGUCCACGCGUAGCGCAUGCAAUUAAGGUACAGGUUUCUAGCAUUCAUCGAUUCUUCGAUGGAGCCGAUGCCGAGCAGUCUGAGCCGGAAUCUGCAGCAGGUGGAGUAAAUUGCGAUAUUCUAUUUGUUCCGUCGCUCGCGCAUUGCAUCCACACCUGCGCUGAAACACCAUUACAUUUCCCUACGUCCGUGGCUACCGUCGGGUUAAGGAACCGACGCACCGCCGGCGAAGUCACGUCGCCGCGGGCGAUAUCCAACGUGCUACACAUGAAAGCACCCGGCUCUAUCUGCACCGCUACCGGAGUGCCGAGGAUAGGAUUCGCCACACCGCGCUCACCGACCGCGGGAGAGCAUAGGAAAAUGGCUUUUUUAACUUCCUCGAACCGGUAUUCGAUCGCUUAUAUUGCGUUGAAGUACGAAUCGGCCCUUUGAAUCGGCGCUUGCA